GAGCUGAUGAUGAAAAAAAACAAUUAUCUUAGCGGAUUUCAGUGAGGUUUUUGAAUCAAUGAACUGAAUUUGUUACACACACUGAAGCUU
rnacentral:snoRNA from 14 species